CUUCGGCCCGAGUUGUAAUUUGCAGAGGAUGUUUAUGGUGCGGUACCUUCCGAGUUCCCUGGAACGGGACGCCACAGAGGGUGAGAGCCCCGUCUGGUUGGAUACCAAACCUGUGUUAAACUCCUUCAACGAGUCGAGUAGUUUGGGAAUGCUGCUCUAAAUGGGAGGUAAAUCUCUUCUAAAGCUAAAUACUGGCCAGAGACCGAUAGCGCACAAGUAGAGUGAUCGAAAGAUGAAAAGCACCUUGAAAAGGGGGUUAAACAGUACGUGAAAUUGUUGAAAGGGAAGCGUUUAUGACCAGACUUGUGUCGUGUGGCUCAUCCGAGGUUCUCCCCGGUGCACUCCACGCGGCUCAGGCCAACAUCGGUUCUUGUUGGAGGAUAAGAACAGUAGGAACGUAGCUCUCCUUCGGGGGAGUGUUAUAGCCUAUUGUACGAUACUCUGGCGGGGACCGAGGACCGCGCUUCGGCUAGGAUGUUGGCGUAAUGGUCAUUAGCGACCCGUCUUGAAACACGGACCAAGGAGUCGUCCAUUAGAGCGAGCGUUUGGGUGUAAAACCCGCACGCGUAAUGAAAGUGAAAUUAGGUGAGAGCUUCGGCGCAUCAUCGACCGAUCCUGAAGUUUACGGAUGGAUUUGAGUAAGAGUUUUAACGGACGGACCCGAAAGACAGUGAACUAUGCUUGAAUAGGGUGAAGCCAGAGGAAACUCUGGUGGAGGCUCGCAGCGGUUCUGACGUGCAAAUCGAUCGUCAAAUUUGAGCAUGGGGGCGAAAGACUAAUCGAACUGUCUAGUAG
rnacentral:rRNA from 1 species